rnacentral:rRNA from 1 species
AUUGAACGCUGGCGGCAUGCCUUACACAUGCAAGUCGAACGGCAGCACGGGUGCUUGCACCUGGUGGCGAGUGGCGAACGGGUGAGUAAUACAUCGGAACAUGUCCUGUAGUGGGGGAUAGCCCGGCGAAAGCCGGAUUAAUACCGCAUACGAUCUACGGAUGAAAGCGGGGGCCCUUCGGGCCUCGCGCUAUAGGGUUGGCCGAUGGCUGCUUAGCUAGUUGGUGGGGUAAAGGCCUACCAAGGCGACGAUCAGUAGCUGGUCUGAGAGGACGACCAGCCACACUGGGACUGAGACACGGCCCAGACUCCUACGGGAGGCAGCAGUGGGGAAUUUUGGACAAUGGGCGAAAGCCUGAUCCAGCAAUGCCGCGUGUGUGAAGAAGGCCUUCGGGUUGUAAAGCACUUUUGUCCGGAAAGAAAUCCUUGGCCCUAAUACGGUCGGGGGAUGACGGUACCGGAAGAAUAAGCACCGGCUAACUACGUG